rnacentral:rRNA from 1 species
UUUUAUGGAGAGUUUGAUCCUGGCUCAGGAUGAACGCUGGCGGCGUGCCUAAUACAUGCAAGUCGAGCGAACGGACGAGAAGCUUGCUUCUCUGAUGUUAGCGGCGGACGGGUGAGUAACACGUGGAUAACCUACCUAUAAGACUGGGAUAACUUCGGGAAACCGGAGCUAAUACCGGAUAAUAUUUUGAACCGCAUGGUUCAAAAGUGAAAGACGGUCUUGCUGUCACUUAUAGAUGGAUCCGCGCUGCAUUAGCUAGUUGGUAAGGUAACGGCUUACCAAGGCAACGAUGCAUAGCCGACCUGAGAGGGUGAUCGGCCACACUGGAACUGAGACACGGUCCAGACUCCUACGGGAGGCAGCAGUAGGGAAUCUUCCGCAAUGGGCGAAAGCCUGACGGAGCAACGCCGCGUGAGUGAUGAAGGUCUUCGGAUCGUAAAACUCUGUUAUUAGGGAAGAACAUAUGUGUAAGUAACUGUGCACAUCUUGACGGUACCUAAUCAGAAAGCCACGGCUAACUACGUGCCAGCAGCCGCGGUAAUACGUAGGUGGC